ACGUAGGGGGCGAGCGUUGUCCGGAAUUACUGGGCGUAAAGGGUUCGCAGGCGGCAUGGCAAGUCCGAUGUAAAAGGCGAAGGCUCAACCUUCGUAAGCAUCGGAAACUGUCAAGCUUGAGUGAAGGAGAGGCAAGUGGAAUUCCUAGUGUAGCGGUGGAAUGCGUAGAUAUUAGGAGGAAUACCGGUGGCGAAGGCGACUUGCUGGACUUCAACUGACGCUGAGGAACGAAAGCGUGGGUAGCAAACAG
rnacentral:rRNA from 2 species